AGCAGCCGCGGUAAUUCCAGCUCCAAUAGCGUAUAUUAAAGUUGUUGCAGUUAAAAGCUCGUAGUUGAAUUUCGGGAUCAAUUAGUCGGUCGUGCCUCUGGUACGUACUGGUUUUAUUGGUUCCUCCCUUCUGACGAAACAUGAUGUCAUUAAUUUGGUGUCGUGGAGAAUCAGGACUGUUACCUUGAAAAAUUGAGUGUUUAUAGCAGGCUAACGCUUGAAUACAUUAGCAUGGAAUAAUGAAAUAGGACGUUCGACCCUAUUUUGUUGGUUUCUAGGAUCGACGUAAUGAUUAAUAGGGAUAGUUGGGGGCAUUAGUAUUCAAUUGUCAGAGGUGAAAUUCUUGGAUUUAUUGAAGACUAACUACUGCGAAAGCAUUUGCCAAGGAU
rnacentral:misc_RNA from 1 species